UGGUGGAGUGAUUUGUCUGGUUAAUUCCGUUAACGAACGAGACCUCCGCGUGCUAAAUAGUUCCGCUUACACUUUUGUGUAGGUUUUGUGGACUUCUUAGAGGGACUUUUGGGUAAUCAAACCAAAGGAAGUUGGAGGCAAUAACA
rnacentral:rRNA from 1 species